rnacentral:tRNA from 1 species
GAGGGUAUAGCUCAAGUGGUAGAGUGUGUGCUUAGCAUGCAUGAGGUCCUGGGUUCCUUCCCCAGUAUUUCCU